rnacentral:rRNA from 1 species
GAAAAGAAACCAACAGGGAUUGCCUUAGUAACGGCGAGUGAAGCGGCAAAAGCUCAAAUUUGAAAUCUGACACCUCCGGUGUUCGAGUUGUAAUUUGGAGAGGCAUCUUCUGGAGGGGCCCAGCCUAUGUGCCUUGGAACAGGACGUCAUAGAGGGUGAGAAUCCCGUACUUGGCCGGAUGUUCCCUCCUGUAUGUAGUGUCUUCUACGAGUCGAGUUGUUUGGGAAUGCAGCUCAAAAUGGGUGGUAAAUUUCAUCUAAAGCUAAAUAUUGGCGAGAGACCGAUAGCGCACAAGUAGAGUGAUCGAAAGAUGAAAAGCACUUUGAAAAUAGAGUCAAACAGUACGUGAAAUUGUUGAAAGGGAAGCGCUUAGGACCAGACCUGGGGAAUAGCAAACAAUCGCCCACCGGGGCGGUGCACUUGUUACUCCUCGGGCCAGCAUGGGUUGGGACGGUGGGAUAAAGACUCGGGAAAUGUGACUCCUUCGUGGAGUGUUAUAGUCCCGGGUGGCAUGCCAUCAGUCCCGACUGUGGAACGCGCACCGGCACGGAUGCUGGCAUAAUGGUCUUCA